rnacentral:rRNA from 1 species
UCGGAAUUAUUGGGCGUAAAGCGCGCGCAGGCGGUUUCUUAAGUCUGAUGUGAAAGCCCCCGGCUCAACCGGGGAGGGUCAUUGGAAACUGGGAAACUUGAGUGCAGAAGAGGAGAGUGGAAUUCCACGUGUAGCGGUGAAAUGCGUAGAGAUGUGGAGGAACACCAGUGGCGAAGGCGACUCUCUGGUCUGUAACUGACGCUGAGGCGCGAAAGCGUGGGGAGCGAACAGGAUUAGAUACCCUGGUAGUCCACGCCGUAAACGAUGAGUGCUAAGUGUUAGAGGGUUUCCGCCCUUUAGUGCUGCAGCUAACGCAUUAAGCACUCCGCCUGGGGAGUACGGUCGCAAGACUGAAACUCAAAGGAAUUGACGGGGGCCCGCACAAGCGGUGGAGCAUGUGGUUUAAUUCGAAGCAACGCGAAGAACCUUACCAGGUCUUGACAUCCUUUGCCACUUCUAGAGAUAGAAGGUUCCCCUUCGGGGGACAAAGUGACAGGUGGUGCAUGGUUGUCGUCAGCUCGUGUCGUGAGAUGUUGGGUUAAGUCCCGCAACGAGCGCAACCCUUGAUCUUAGUUGCCAGCAUUCAGUUGGGCACUCUAAGGUGACUGCCGGUGACAAACCGGAGGAAGGUGGGGAUGACGUCAAAUCAUCAUGCCCCUUAUGACCUGGGCUACACACGUGCUACAAUGGAUGGUACAAAGGGCUGCGAGACCGCGAGGUUUAGCCAAUCCCAUAAAACCAUUCUCAGUUCGGAUUGCAGGCUGCAACUCGCCUGCAUGAAGCUGGAAUCGCUAGUAAUCGCGGAUCAGCAUGCCGCGGUGAAUACGUUCCCGGGCCUUGUACACACCGCCCGUCACACCACGAGAGUUUGCAACACCCGAAGUCGGUGGGGUAACCGCAAGGAGCCAGCCGCCUAAGGUGGGGUAGAUGAUUGGGGUGAAGUCGUACAGGGGUAACCCGGUAAA